rnacentral:rRNA from 1 species
UUUAAGUCAGAUGUGAAAGACCCGGGGCGUUAACCUCGGAAUUGCAUUUGUAAACUAGGCAGGCUAGAGUCUUGUAGAGGGGGGUAGGAAGUUUACUAGGUGUAGCGGUGAAAUAGCGUAGAGAUCUGAAGGAAUACCAGUGGCGAAGGCGGCCCCCUCGGACAAAGACUGACGCUCAGAUGCGAAAGCGUGGGGAGCAAACAGGAUUAGAUACCCCUGGUAG